rnacentral:rRNA from 1 species
GUGUCAGCCGCCGCGGUAAUACGGAGGGGGCAAGCGUUGUUCGGAUUUACUGGGCGUAAAGGGUCCGUAGGUGGUUGUGUAAGUCUGGUGUGAAAUCUUCGCCGCUUAACGGGAAGAAGCCACUGGAAACUGCGCAACUUGAGUAUGGUAGAGGCAAGCGGAAUUCCUGGUGUAGCGGUGGAAUGUGUAGAUAUCAGGAAGAACAUCUGUGGCGAAGGCGGCUUGCUGGGCCAUCACUGACACUGAGGGACGAAAGCGUGGGGAGCAAACGGGAUUAGAUACCCCCGUAGUCC